AUGGGGGGAGGAAGCCAACGGGUCACAGGAACAACCCCAGAGGGAAACGACGGCAGGGGCCCCCCCAGGACCAGAGAGGGGACUCGACUCUCCUCUGCAGCCCUGGCCCAGGAAGCCCAUAGAGGAGAGCUGCCAUGUCCUCAGCCAGGGACCCUAUCCUCUUGGCCUUCAGCAGAAGCCCGAGUGACAGGGUUGUGGAGGCCUCCUCUGGGCAGCCCUCCUUCCAGCCUUUGUGCUGGGGCAUCUGGACCUGGGUGCCCCAGCAUGUCCCUCUCCACGGGCCUUUCACUUUUUACUUUAAAUAAAUUAAAAGCGGGACCUGAACAGCCCUGGUCCACCCACCCACAAGUCAGCACAACACGGGGCACGCGCAAGGGGCUGGCAGCUGCCCCCCACCACCUCGAGGCAGCUGCUCAGAUGGCAGCGUGCAGUGGCCAGCUGGGGCCCCUCACCCCGGACGCUCCUCGGGGCGGGUGCAGCAGCGAGCAAAGCCAGCGCUGCCCACAGCACCCCAAAGGAGCCAGAAGGGUGACAGGCCCCCAAGUGAGGCCACUGGGACCCUGGGUUUGCUCAGGAACAGUGGCCCCAGGGCAGGAUGGCAGGGCACCGGGGCAGCCUGGGCACUGGGGCUGGUUUCCAAGAAGGCGAACCAAGCUCCACGGCUGCCCCGGUCACGGGGAGUGUGUCCUAGCCUGGCACCAAGAACAGCCGCAGACGCCUGGAGGUCUAAAAUCCAUACAAACGUUUAUUCCAUCCCUGCCCAGGGCUGGGGAGGCUCAGGCGCUCAGGGCUGCGGCCCUCAGAGACAGCCCCCACGGUGGGAAGACCUGCAGGCCUGGGGGCUGGCAGGGGGGCUGGCUCGGUUCCGAGGUCACGGAGCCCAGGCGGGCUGGGGGCAGCCCUCCCGCCCGUCCAGGCCUAGGCCGGCUGGACUCCUGGGUCCCGGUGGCUGCCGAGGCGCCGGCUGACGGCUCCCGGACCCCAGGAGGGCAGGCAGCACCAGGGUCCUGCUCCUCUGGGUCGGGAAGACAACUGUGCGAGUGGUCAGGUUUAAAUUAA
rnacentral:lncRNA from 1 species